rnacentral:rRNA from 1 species
UGGGGAAUAUUGCACAAUGGGCGCAAGCCUGAUGCAGCGACGCCGCGUGAGGGAUGACGGCCUUCGGGUUGUAAACCUCUUUCAGCUCCGACGAAGCGCAAGUGACGGUAGGAGCAGAAGAAGCACCGGCCAACUACGUGCCAGCAGCCGCGGUAAUACGUAGGGUGCAAGCGUUGUCCGGAAUUACUGGGCGUAAAGAGCUCGUAGGCGGUUUGUCGCGUCGUCUGUGAAAUUCUGCAGCUUAACUGCAGGCGUGCAGGCGAUACGGGCAGACUUGAGUACUACAGGGGAGACUGGAAUUCCUGGUGUAGCAGUGAAAUGCGCAGAUAUCAGGAGGAACACCGGUGGCGAAGGCGGGUCUCUGGGUAGUAACUGACGCUGAGGAGCGAAAGCGUGGGUAGCGAACAGG